rnacentral:rRNA from 1 species
AUUGAACGCUGGCGGCAUGCCUUACACAUGCAAGUCGAACGGCAGCACGGAGCUUGCUCUGGUGGCGAGUGGCGAACGGGUGAGUAAUAUAUCGGAACGUACCCUAGAGUGGGGGAUAACGUAGCGAAAGUUACGCUAAUACCGCAUACGAUCUAAGGAUGAAAGUGGGGGAUCGCAAGACCUCAUGCUCGUGGAGCGGCCGAUAUCUGAUUAGCUAGUUGGUAGGGUAAAAGCCUACCAAGGCAUCGAUCAGUAGCUGGUCUGAGAGGACGGCCAGCCACACUGGAACUGAGACACGGUCCAGACUCCUACGGGAGGCAGCAGUGGGGAAUUUUGGACAAUGGGCGAAAGCCUGAUCCAGCAAUGCCGCGUGAGUGAAGAAGGCCUUCGGGUUGUAAAGCUCUUUUGUCAGGGAAGAAACGGUGAAAGCUAAUAUCUUUUGCUAAUGACGGUACCUGAAGAAUAAGCACCGGCUAACUACGUGCCAGCAGCCGCGGUAAUACGUAGGGUGCAAGCGUUAAUCGGAAUUACUGGGCGUAAAGCGUGCGCAGGCGGUUUUGUAAGUCUGAUGUGAAAUCCCCGGGCUCAACCUGGGAAUUGCAUUGGAGACUGCAAGGCUAGAAUCUGGCAGAGGGGGGUAGAAUUCCACGUGUAGCAGUGAAAUGCGUAGAUAUGUGGAGGAACACCGAUGGCGAAGGCAGCCCCCUGGGUCAAGAUUGACGCUCAUGCACGAAAGCGUGGGGAGCAAACAGGAUUAGAUACCCUGGUAGUCCACGCCCUAAACGAUGUCUACUAGUUGUCGGGUCUUAAUUGACUUGGUAACGCAGCUAACGCGUGAAGUAGACCGCCUGGGGAGUACGGUCGCAAGAUUAAAACUCAAAGGAAUUGACGGGGACCCGCACAAGCGGUGGAUGAUGUGGAUUAAUUCGAUGCAACGCGAAAAACCUUACCUACCCUUGACAUGGCUGGAAUCCUUGAGAGAUCAGGGAGUGCUCGAAAGAGAACCAGUACACAGGUGCUGCAUGGCUGUCGUCAGCUCGUGUCGUGAGAUGUUGGGUUAAGUCCCGCAACGAGCGCAACCCUUGUCAUUAGUUGCUACGAAAGGGCACUCUAAUGAGACUGCCGGUGACAAACCGGAGGAAGGUGGGGAUGACGUCAAGUCCUCAUGGCCCUUAUGGGUAGGGCUUCACACGUCAUACAAUGGUACAUACAGAGCGCCGCCAACCCGCGAGGGGGAGCUAAUCGCAGAAAGUGUAUCGUAGUCCGGAUUGUAGUCUGCAACUCGACUGCAUGAAGUUGGAAUCGCUAGUAAUCGCGGAUCAGCAUGUCGCGGUGAAUACGUUCCCGGGUCU